CUACAUGUUCACGGAGAGUAGAUCAGCCAAAGAUAAUCCAGUAAUAGCACUAACUCUAACACUAACUAUGCAAGUUUAGUAUAUUGUUUAUGAUUUCCCUAGGAGUCAAUUUUAGAGAUGACCGAUAAGGCUUGUGACAACUGUGCUUUACUCCAGGGUGACAGGUCAGUUUGAGGGACAAUCGGUGACUGUUGCCACAGUAUCUUCUUUUUAAGGUAGUCCUGCAAGGGCCAAUUGACAAUUCAUUCCAGCAUGCACUGUAGCCAGGCAUCAACUGUCAAUCACACCAUAGGACUAUUGUAACCAACAUUGCUGCAUGAAAUGGAGGACGUCUGGCUGGCUGUGCAUCCAAGGUAUUUCUCUGAAAUUGCCUGCCUUGGGUGCUGAUGUUCC